GAAGUUACAGAGCGGCUCAAAGUUCAGGGUGCCCAAGAUUGCGGAUACCAUAGUCAAGAGCAGCAGCAGUGGCAAUGACACCCCCCAAGACAACUCCAGCAAGGAUGAAGAGGGCACUCAAGGAUGCAAAUGCGGCCAGGCAAGUGUCAGACAUGACUAGGCAUGAAGAUGUACCACUAACACCCCCAGAGUCAAGCCCCAAUAUUUUGGAACUCAAAGAGGCAACCAGUGAUCAAUGGUACACACCAACUGGUGGCAAGCAUGUUUCACUCAUCACCUCCACACCCAGAGGCUAAGUGUAAAGUCUAUCAGAAAAGAGGCCAGAAGGAUGAAUAAUUGUAUCUCAGAGAAAAUCCAAGAUCUCAAUAAAAGAUCGAAAACUAGCAAAACAUUUAUCAUGUAAAUAAUGUUUCAGUGUGAAUUUGCAUUUUCUAGAUAAAACAGAUUCCAGCUGU